rnacentral:rRNA from 1 species
CCUACGGGCGGCAGCAGUGAGGAAUAUUGGUCAAUGGGCGCGAGCCUGAACCAGCCAAGUCGCGUGCAGGAGGACGGCCCUACGGGUUGUAAACCUCUUUUGCCGGGGAGCAACGGGCGUCACGUGUGGCGCCACUGAGAGUACCCGGAGAAAAAGCAUCGGCAAACUCCGUGCCAGCAGCCGCGGUAAUACGUAGGUUGCGAGGUUUAUCCGGAUUUAUGGGGUUUAAGGGGGUCGUUGCCGGAUCGUUAAGGCAGUGGUAAAUUUGAGGGGUCAAACCCCUCCCCGCAAUUGAAACUGGCGAUCUUGAGUGGAAGAGAAGUAUGCGGAAUGCGUGGUGUAGCGGUGAAAUGCAUAGAUAUGACGCAGAACCCCGAUUGCGAAGGCAGCAUGCCGGCUUCCGACUGACGCUGAAGCACGAAAGCGUGGGGAGCAAACAGGAUUAGAUACCCUUGUAGUC